UCUGGUAACAAUGGCGAGAAGGUCACACCCGUUCCCAUACCGAACACGGCAGUUAAGCUCUUCAGCGCCGAUGGUAGUUGGGGGUUUCCCCCUGUGAGAGUAGGACGUCGCCAAGC
rnacentral:rRNA from 1 species